AGGAGAAACGCAAGCGGUCCCCAACUCAGUCAGCACCUCCUGCAAGAUCUUCAUCCUCAGUAUCCCCUCCCCAAAUAAAGAGGGUCUGAGAAAAAGGAGGUUUGGCGGCCAGUGGUGACCAACCCCUCUCGGCUGGAUGGGUCAUCCCGCUCUGCUGCCCCUCACUCUGGUUCUCAGGUGGUGGUCCAUGCUUCGCCUCGACUAGACCCUAUGGACCAUUCGGCUUUGGUUUUUCAAGUCUUGCAGGAGUUGUCGGUUUCAUCUCUUACUUCAAAUUCAGAUGCUCAAACUGCGUGUGUGGAGGCUGCUCGUCGGUCUGCUGACCCAGGCCAACCAUCUACAUAUGCUCUUCAAUGAAGAUCAUUAUGUGGAAUUAUCGGGGCGCUGCUAAGCCCUCGUUUCGUAAGUAUUCUAAACUAUUAUUAGCUAAGUAUAGUCUAGAUAUAUGUGUAUUUGUCGAGACUAGGCUUGAUCAAGCUCUUUACCUCGUCUCCGGCGAUGGUUUGGUCCUUUUUGGGAUGUUUAUUUGGUUUCGUUGGAAGGGCUGUCUGGGGGUAUGUUUGUCAUCUGGAAGAAAAGUCCUAGGCAGGUCACGUUUACUCAUACUGAUCGAUAAAUUUACUUCGGCAUUAUCACUCCUUUUGAUUCAUCUUCUUGCAUUUUGGGUCUGGUGUAUGUGAGUACUAAUGGUUUGAUACACCGUUCCCUUUGGCAUACUGCUUCCCAUAUCCUUGCUCUUGGUGUGCCAACUCUUCUUAUAGGUGACUUUAAUUGUAUUUUGCAAUCUACUGAUAAAAUGGGCAGCAAGCGGUUUUCUUUAAACCAUGAUAUCCGUGAGUUUCGCAAUUUUGCUUCUUUUAAUGGGCUGAUAGAUCUUGGAUUUGUGGGCCCUAAAUAUACUUGGUGUAACAACCAAAAGGGACUGGUAAGGGUGUGGGAACGGCUUGAUAGGGCUUUUGUGUUAGAGCAUUGGUUUGACAUAUUUCCUAACUCUGCUCUUCAACAUCUUGUUCGUUUUGCUUUUGAUUAUUGUUCGUUUGUUUUCUCAGCUCAUGUUUGCUCUUAAUGACCCCACCAUUCUUUCCGCUUUUUUAAAUUUUGGAUGUGGUAUUCGUUACUUUUCUCAGCUCAUGUUUGCUCUCAAUGACCCCACCAUUCUUUCCGCUUUUUUAAAUUUUGGAUGUGGUAUUCUGAUUUUCAUCAUAUUGUCCGUAAGCAUUGGUGUGCUGAGGUCGACCUCCCUCCUAAAAGGCUAUCUUAUCUCCUUCUUAAGCUGAAAUGGAAGCUUAUGCAAUGGAGUAAAUCUAUAGUUCGUACUCUCUUCCAAAAAGUUGACUUAUAUGCUCAAAUCCUGUCUCUUCAAUUGUUAGAAACUCAAACGGGGUGUCUAUCAUAUGAUAAUCAUUUUCUUCUGCUUCAGCUUCUCCAAGAAUAUAAUCGGGUCCUGUCCAUGCAAUAAUGUUAUUGGAAAUAAUGAUCACGUAUUCAGUGGCUUAAAGAAGGGGAUACUAAUUUAAAGUUCUUUCAUUGCACUACCGUUCUUCAUAAUUGGCGUAACCAUAUUUCAGCUCUCAAAUCAGAGUUUGGGUAGUGGAUCUAUGUGGAAUCCGAGCUUAGAUCAAUGUUACAGCUAUAUUUUCGGUCCAGGUGCAACUUCUUGCCUCCACCUAUUGACAUAUGGCUUCCUCAGCCUACAAAUGUUUUAUCUCCUGGCCAACAAUAGCGUUUGGUAUCCCCAAUUAUGGAAGAAGAGAUAUUUAAUACAUUACAAUCUAUGCCUCUUGAUAAAUUCCCUAGUCCGGAUGGUUUUUCUGCUUUUUUCAAGACUUUUGACCUAUUGUGGGUACCGAUGUGGUUCGGGCAGUUCUUUCAUUUUUUCAUUCCUCGGUCAUGCCACCCUCAUGGAAGCACACCUUUAUUGUCCUGAUUCCUAAGGUAUAGCAGCCAUCACGACCAUCCGAGUUUCGCCCUAUUAGCUUAUGUAAUACCAUCUAUAAGCUAGUGGCUGCAGUUAUUUUAAAUUGGAUGAAGCCUUUAAUGCCUGACUUGAUUUCUUCCAAUCAAGGUGCCUUUGUUGGGGGAAGAUUGAUCAUGGAAAAUAUUCUUAUUGCCCAGAAAAUCAUGUAUUCUCUUGUGAGGGCUGCACCAUCUAAAGGUCUUCUGUUGCUUCAAGUGGAUAUGGAAAAGGCAAACGAUCGAGUGCAAGGGAGCUUUCUUUUAUGGGUGUUUAAGCAAUUCAAUUUCUUUGAACUCUUCAUAAAGUGGAUUGAGACUUGUGUGCUUAAUCCUCUAUAUGCUCUUCUUAUUAAUGGCACUCCCAUGGAUUGGUUUUCUGCUACUUGUGGUCUGAGACAGGGCUGUCCAUUAUCUCCUUUUCUGUUCCUCUUAUGCUCGGAAAUGCUAUCUCUUACUUUGAGGGUGGCUAUUCAAUCGAAACUUUUGCAUCCUUAUAUCCCUGGACGGCAUGGGCCUCAGAUUUCUCAUCUUUUUUUUUUUACUGACAACUGUUUAUUGGUUGCUAAAGCUCCCAUCCAUAAUGCUCUUCUCCUCAAGUUAUUGCUUAAUGCUUAUUGCCAUUAUUCUGGUCAAUCGGUGAAUACUUCUAAAUCCUUUCUUAUUAUCAGCCCGUCUUUGGAUUCUAAUAUCAGGUAAUCUAUUGUGUCUAUAUUUGGUAUGCAUUGUAAAUAAGGUGCUUGGAAAUAUUUGAGUAUGCCUAUUUCUAAUUUCAGAUUAACCACAUCGGAUUUCACCUUUCUUAUGGAGAAAAUUCUUGCCAAGAUCCAAGCUUGGAAAUGGAGGGCUCUUUCCUUUGCGGGGCGGGUCACUCUUAUUCAAUCUGUGUUGACCUCUAUCCUUGUGUAUGCUAUGGCUUCUUUCCCAUCUUGUUUGCUGUUCUGGACUCUCUUGAGCGGAAAUUUCGUGCCUUUCUAUGGGGUCACCCUUCCUCUACUUGUCGAGCUGAUCUUAUCUCACGGGAGACUGUUUGUUCGCCCAAGGAGGCAGGUGGCCUGGGCUUCCUUUCUAUCUGGCAGUGCCAAGCUAUUCUUUUGGAUAAAUUGGCUGCUAAGCUAAUUUUACAACCUUUUUCUCUAUGGGGCCAGUUGGUCUAUUCUAAGUACAAGUUCCAUUGAUCCUGGAUCUCCUAUCGUCGUUCGGCUAAUUGUUCUCAAAUUUGAAAAAAAAUCUCGGCUAUUGGACAGUGCAUCCAAUAUCAAUACAUGUGGCUCAUUGGAAACGGACAAAGUAUAAAUGUCUGGAAGGAUUCGUGGAUAUCCUCCAUACCAUUAUUUUGAUGGUUUUCUUUUAUGAAUGUUAAUAUUAAUUUGAAAGAUUUUUGUGUUGCUGAUUUUAUUUUACCUAAGAAUAUAUGGAAUACUUCACCUUUAGCCUCUCUAUUUAACACGGAUAUGUUAAGCGCCGUACUUACGAUUUCUUUUGCGCACACUAAAUGGCCAGAUCAGUUGGGCUGGGCUAACACUCGAUCUCUUACUGUUUCUACUCAUGACCUUGCUGGUGUUUUAGCUCCCCUUAAUUCCCUCUCUUUCAACUUUCAUGCCAAGUGGAUCUAGGAAUUAUCUGUACCUAAACAUGUUAAAUGUUUUUAUUGGAAACUCUUUUGGCAACGCUUACCCACUAAGGAGUAUUUGCUUUUUAGAAAUCUCCUGCCUUCUGGGCUUUUUGUAUGUGAUCUUUGUGGAUCUGCUGUGGAGGAUUGUCAAUAUGUGAUUAUCACUUGUUAUUUUGCUCAAGCUUGCUGGCGCCUUAUUAGUUACCAAUUUAGCUGCCCUAUCCCAUCUUCUUUAUUGAAUUUGCUGGCUUUUUUAGCUCAUCCCAGGAUAGGAUCGAGAGGGAAGGCUAUUGUUCCUUUCAUGGCAUCUCUUCUUUGGUAUGCCAGGAAUCAGCAGAUCUUUCAAGGCCACUUUAUUCCUCUCGCCCAUCUCCUCCAGCAGUGUGUCUGUUUCCACAAAGUUCAAUUUUUCUCCUCUACUUCUUUUCCUCCUGGUGAGCCCACUCAGUCAAGGACCUGGGGUAAUUCUCAGCUGUGUUUGCAGCUCUGCUGAGUGAAUUUUAUUUCAUGGACACCCCCUCCCCUUGGAGUGCUCACUAUUAGCUUUGAUAGAGCAGUCACUGCAGAGCGAGCCGCUGGAGGCUUUAUAAUUCGAAACGGUGAGGGCGCUAUGUUGGCGAUAGGAGGAAAGCUUCUUCCUGCUGUUGCUGUGCCUUUUGCUGAACUUAUUGGAGUUUGGUUGGGACUUAAAUACGUCUUUACCCAUCUCUAUUCUUAGUGUGUUUGGAUUCAGGGAGACUCCUUUGUUGUUAUCACAUGGCUGAAAAAUCUCCAGAGUAAUAGGAUGAGUCUCUCGCCUUGGAUGCAGGAUAUUAAAAUUUGGCUUGCCUCUCUCCAAUAUCUUAAAAUAUCUCAUAUUUUUCGGGAAGGCAAUAAAGCCACGGAUUGGGCUGCCACGACUGCUUUUCUGGGGAUUUUUCUUUUACUUCUGAUAUAUUGUAUUUAUAUCCUACUCUGGUCCAUAUUUUACGUGCUGAUGCUUAUCCAGUUGCAUUUCCUCGACAUGGCUUAUAGAUAUUGGCUGCAUUAUCCUCUAUUAUCCGGUGGAUCUGGAUGGCCGUGGGUGGUUAGUAGUUUAACUUCAUUUCAGUCAUCUGGCCUGAUGCAUUGCCCCUAUUAUCAGAUAUUUCUGAUGGACAUUUUUGAGUUGCAUAGACACUUCACCAUGUUUAUUUGGCUUCUGAUCUUACUGUCCCACAUGAUUACAUUUAUUAUGCAUGCGGGCAUCUCUGUCGUUUUUUUUUAGAUGAUGUUUGCACUGAUGGGUAUUCGCCCCUCCCAAAUGAUGAUAUUCAAGUGUCUAUUUCUGAUGGGAGUUGGCUCUUUUUUAAAUUUAUUACUCUCUCUCCUUUUGCUGGCCAUCUUAUUAAUGCCGCUUUUAUGGCGCGUAUGGCUCUUUGGUUAUAUUUGCUGCAAAAGGAGAUUUUAUGGUUGGGUUUUACUUACUAUAUCACUCUGUGCCAGUGGUCUUAUUUUAGCCCUAACAAAGUUUCAAUUACUGAUGAGUUUUGUGAUCUAAUUACCUCCCAAAUGAUUAUAUUCAAUUGGUUCGAUUCUAAUGGGAGUUGGCCUAGAUUGCCUAUUGGUUUACUUUUCUUGCUGACGGGGAUUCGGUGGUCGGCUUACUCUUUUCUCGUUGCAUUAUGCUGCUGGCAUCACUUAAUCCCAAAUGAUGACUUAUGGUAUGUUGUUUCUAAUGGAUUUCUGAGCAUAUUAUUGGUUUUGGGUACAUACGAGACUUUUGUUCAAAAUUAUGUUUUGGCGCUCUACAGACAAUUUCAUUUGAAGUAUAGGUGCUGCAUCAUUUAUAGCAUAUCUUACUCUGACAUAUCUUAUAGUAUUUCAGCCUCUGUUGCUUUUUCUGUUUUAUGGAUUCAGGGCGAGGUGCUUGUUUCUGCGGUUCUCCAUUUUCUUACAUGUCAUUUAGCUUGUUCUAUUAGUCAUUGGAUUAUUUGGUAUUUUGUUAAUUGUUGGUUCUCCAGAUAUCAGCCUAUUAUUUGGAUGGAUAACGGAUGGCAUUUGCUGCAUAUUCAAUUUCUCUGUUCGGAUUUUUUUAUUCGGUUACUGUGUGCUGCUGUUGAUCUCUUGUCCUAGAUGAUGUAUCAUUCCAUAAUGAUUUUGAUGGGUUUGUGUGCAUAUUAUCUGCUUUUA